rnacentral:lncRNA from 1 species
AGAGCAGCCCCAAAUCUUCGCCCUCCCGCACGGCAUCUACCGCCACCCGAUCCACCUUGGAAGACGGGUCUGGGGAGCAGUUGGGCCGCGCCGGGGGGACGGGGCGUAGAGAUUCGGGCCCGACCCUGGUCCCAGCCCGCCUGAGAAGGCUGGAGGUGGGUGUUUCCGUCCCGGACGGCCUUCCCGCCCGGGAGCGCGGCGGCUGGACUGGCAGGCGGAUGGCGGGAGGAAGGGCAGCCUCUUCUGGGCUUCAGAAGCCGGAGAAAUUAAAAUAAUGCUCCUGCUCCCUCGCAGGUUGAGGGGCAAAGCUGCUGGUGUGACCCUGGCUGGGCCCCCAUCGAUCCCUUUCCGGUGUUUUGGGUUUCUCUUUUCUUGCCCUCGGAUUAUGUGACUUUACUAGACGAUACGUUAAAAAUGUUAUUUAAAGAAAUGAGACCCUAGCUGCCUGAAAACCGAGACCGAGCCCGUUUGGUACAACCACAACGCCGAGCUCUCCAGCGCCAGGAGGAGGCCCGAGGAGGCCCCAAGGUUCGCAGCCCCAGGCCCCGAGACCACCGGGGACACCUCUCCCUGAGGAUCCAGGGCCCAAACCAAACAGCAAGUACAAUUCUGAGAACUGUGGAACUUCAUCCUUUCUUUUAAAGAUUCUUCUGCCUUUGCUUGAUGGAAUCUUGUGAAGGCAGAAUAUUUAGACUUCUGCCCAACUCGCAACUAGUUGGCCUUCAAACCUGCACUGUCAUUGCCCUGGUCUUUUCCCAAAGGGAAGGUGCUGGACUGACCAUCACGAUGGCGCCUAGAGAGGAUGGACAACUGCUUCCUGCACACCAUGAUGAUAAGUGUGUGAAUCCUCCUGCCUACACUAGCUGGGUGAUUAUAACAAUAAUAACUCAGACAGCUUUGGACUUUGCAAUGAUUUUAUAAUCCAGCAAGUGUCCAGUAGGACAGAAUUGGAGGUAGCAAGGUUCAUACUGGAGAAAUAAUGAAUAAAAUCAGACAUAGCCCAGGAGGCCAGGGCGGGGUCCCACUAGUGUUUGGAUGGAAGAUGUCCAAGUGACAUCUGUCCCAAGCUGGGACAGCUUCCAGGACUGGAUCUGCAUGGAAUCCAAACCAGGAGA